GGGGGUAAUUGAGCCUGCCCUCCCCCCAUCGCAGAGCAGAUAUUCUCCCCCUUUCAGUAAUCGGCUCAUAUGGGUCCCACUGACCUACACCCUCCCCCCUCGGCUGAGUCUCUUGGCACCUGGAUGUGUGUGUGGGUGGGGAGGGGAAUCCAAUCUCCCUUUCCCUCCAUCUGGCCUAGUGGACAAAGGGCAGGGGGACCAUCUGGUCCCGCCAGGGUGGGGGAGGGGCCCACAGUGGCAGUCCCAAGGGGAAGGGGGAGGGGCGGCGCUCCGGAGACAGCAAAAGCAUGUGAGGUCUAAUUGUAUCACUUUAUUUCAGGGACCUCCACAGUCAGUCUUCUCAUCCCGUUCCCAAACCUCAGAGCAGGAAAUGGGCUUGGUUGAGAAGAUUCAUGCUUGGUGACCUGGGGAGGUGUGCAGGUCUCCCCCCCCCCCCGCCCCCGCAAGAAGAAGCGAGGAGAUUUGAAAAGCAGACGGGUGCACCUCCCCUUCCGAGGAAGCAAUUCUGGUCUGGGACCAGUUGGAAUGGGAAACUGCACAUGUACCUGUGCAAACAUGUGAUGCAAAGCUACACAGGAAUGUGGUGUCUGUCGGUCCAGUCGUGUGGACCGACCCCAGUGCUGCUCCCACGGGAGAGGUUCUGUUUGGGAUGGAUCUAAACAAGCAUACAUGUUUCUAUCUGUGGCCAGAAGGAAUGGCUGUCCUGUAGAGCAGCCAAAGAGGGAGAUGGACCAGAAAGUAAAGUAAGGCAGAAGUGAGAGCUGAGCAGGGAGCUGGCAGGAGAAGCUCAGGGAUUACCCACAAUCAGAGUUCUCCCCUUGAAUCCGAGGCUUUUUCCACUUGAUUUUACCUCCUUGAUCUGAUCUGUUGCUGCAAGAGAAAAACAGAAAUGACAGGAACCCAGACAGAUUAUAGACAGACCUGUUGCAGGUGAGGCAGAAACCAGAGACCAGGAGAAGACAGCAAGAGAUCCUAGAGUAGGCAGUCUGUCCCCGCUAUCAGCAGGUCUGAGUCUCAUGCUAGCCCUUGCAGGAAAUCCAGCAGCCCCGUAUGCCACUCAUCAGGCUUGUCCAAGUAACAGGGAUGCCCCGCCCCUUCCAUGACCAGCACUCUGUGGUUGGGCAGCUGCUUCAGGUGUUGAAAGCUGGAGGAGCCCAUGGGGUCCUGGUCUCCAUAUACAAUGAGAGCUGGAGUCUGAGAGGAAGGAAAGGAGGACAGAAUCGGGGGGCUUGUCGCACCAGCCCACCUUCUAAUGGUUAGCUUCCGGCCUCACCACCUCUAUAAUGUCUUCCUGCCCUCCUGAGAAGAGACUAGCUGAUCCAGUGGGUGGAGACAUGGGUUUGUACUUUCCCUAGUACACAGUUUUAUACAGGGAUUGGCAUAGUAGUCUAAGUCAACCAAAAGGAAUCUCCCCAAAACCACCCCAUUGGUUACCCAGCUCCCAGGUGAAGAAGCCCCAGGGAUGGACCCCACCUUCCUCCUGAGACACCAUCUCAGUGACACAUGCACACACACACACACACCAGGUACCUUCACACUGGCGUAGUCCCCAGCAUUGACUUUGUCUGUGCAGAUGGGAGCCACUGGAACAUAGCCCUGGAGCUGGGACCCAGGGGCCACGAGGAAGGGCAGUGAAUACAUGCCACUUAACGAUGGACUGAUCACAACUGGGGGUCCCAGCUCCAAGGCAUCCACCACGGCAGCUAGGAAGCUGCCAGGGGCCAGUUCCCCAAUAGGGGCGGGGGCCACCGCUUCCUUGGAUCGCCCAAGACCUGCAGGGAUUCAGUGUAGGAGAGACAAGGACAAUGAACGGGAAGGGUCCCUUCCUCUGCUCUGUGCCCAGGUUCAUAUAACAUCCAGCAGACUGAAUUCACACCCACAGCCCAGUGUAUCAUCUGUGUCGAGAAUGAGACAAUUCUUUCCAUGUUUGUGUUCGUACUAACUAACAGUGUCCUGAUAAGAAUGAAGCUCUGGAGUCUAUUGG